AUGUCACCCGGACUUGGCUUGCACCCUAUGGCUGUGAUCCAUUGCAGUCCUUUCCUACUGAUGCUCAGAGGAUGGACAUCAUAGUUCUCCCUCUCUGGACACCUGGUCAUUUCCAGUUGUGUGUACUGAAGCCACCUAAAAGAGAAAUCCUCUUUCUUGACCCAUUAUACACAAAGGCAGGAUUUGGUGGCCAACAAUAUGUUUCACUUUUGAGGUCACAUUUUUAUAAGCAUUUUUGGUUUGUUCCAGAGUUUUCAGGAACCUGUUCAGUGUUCCAGGUUAAGUGCAUCCCAGAUCAUGUUCUGCU